rnacentral:rRNA from 1 species
CAGAGGGGGCAAGCGUUGUUCGGAAUUACUGGGCGUAAAGGGCGCGUAGGCGGCCUGCUAAGUCGAGCGUGAAAUCCCCGGGCUCAACCCGGGAACUGCGUCCGAUACUGACAGGCUUGAAUCCGGGAGAGGGAUGUGGAAUUCCAGUGUAGCGGUGAAAUGCGUAGAUAUCUGGAGGAACACCGGUGGCGAAGGCGGCAUCCUGGACCGGUAUUGACGCUGAUGCGCGAAAGCCAGGGGAGCAAACGGGAUUAGAUACCCCGGUAGUCCUGGCCCUAAACGAUGAAUGCUUGGUGUGGCGGGUAUCGAUCCCUGCCGUGCCGAAGCUAACGCAUUAAGCAUUCCGCCUGGGGAGUACGGUCGCAAGGCUG